rnacentral:rRNA from 1 species
CCCUUAGAUGUUCUGGGCCGCACGCGUGCUACACUGAACAGUUCAACAAGUCUUAACCUUGGCCGAUAGGUCUGGGUAAUCUUUGAACGCUGUUCGUGAUUGGGAUAGACCUUUGCAAUUAUGGGUCUUCAACGAGGAAUUCCUAGUAAACGCAAGUCAUCAGCUUGCAUUGAUUACGUCCCUGCCCUUUGUACACACCGCCCGUCGCACCUACCGAUUGAAUGGUCCGGUGAAAUCUCGGGACGGCGGCUCGGUCGCUUGCGUCCGACUGCUGAAACUUGAUUAAACCAUAUCAUUUAGAGGAAGGUGAAGUCGUAACA